rnacentral:rRNA from 1 species
GACGAACGCUGGCGGCGUGCCUAAUACAUGCAAGUCGAGCGGACUUUCAAGAAGCUUGCUUUUUGAAAGUUAGCGGCGGACGGGUGAGUAACACGUGGGCAACCUGCCUGCAAGACGGGGAUAACUCCGGGAAACCGGGGCUAAUACCGGAUAAUAUCUUCCUUCGCAUGAAGGAAGGUUGAGAGGCGGCGCAAGCUGCCGCUUGCAGAUGGGCCCGCGGCGCAUUAGCUAGUUGGUGAGGUAACGGCUCACCAAGGCGACGAUGCGUAGCCGACCUGAGAGGGUGAUCGGCCAAACUGGGACUGAGACACGGCCCAGACUCCUACGGGAGGCAGCAGUAGGGAAUCUUCCGCAAUGGACGAAAGUCUGACGGAGCAACGCCGCGUGAGCGAAGAAGGUCUUCGGAUCGUAAAGCUCUGUUGUCAGGGAAGAACAAGUACCGUUCGAACAGGGCGGUACCUUGACGGUACCUGACCAGAAAGCCACGGCUAACUACGUG